rnacentral:rRNA from 1 species
GAUGAACGCUAGCGGCAGGCCUAACAAAUGCAAGUCGAGGGGUAGAAGUUUUCGGACUUUGAGACCGGCGCACGGGUGCGUAACGCGUAUGCAAUCUGCCUUGUACUGAGGGAUAGCCCAGAGAAAUUUGGAUUAACACCUCAUAGUAUUUUAGUGUGGCAUCACAUUAUUAUUAAAGGUUACGGUACAAGAUGAGCAUGCGUCCCAUUAGCUAGUUGGUAUGGUAACGGCAUACCAAGGCUACGAUGGGUAGGGGUCCUGAGAGGGAGAUCCCCCACACUGGUACUGAGACACGGACCAGACUCCUACGGGAGGCAGCAGUGAGGAAUAUUGGUCAAUGGGCGCAAGCCUGAACCAGCCAUGCCGCGCGCAGGAUGAAGCAUCUAUGGUGUGUAAACUGCUUUUGUACGGGAAGAAACACUCCCUCGUGAGGGAACUUGACGGUACCGUAAGAAUAAGGAUCGGCUAACUCCGUGCCAGCCGCCGCGGUAAUAC